rnacentral:misc_RNA from 1 species
GAGUUAGUAACUUUAAGUUUACGCCGGAGUGCUUCAAGUAUAAACCUGAUAGACUCUAUAAAUGAAACAAUCAGAGAACCAAGAGCAACGGAUCCAAUGCUGUAACGUAAAAGCCGCUUCAUAGAGGAGAGCACUGGGAGAAAUGAAAUUUCUGGCGAUGUUCCACCUCGAGCCCAAUAGUAUGUAGCGACAGAGCCUGCAAUGACCGUUGCAGAGCUUGCCACAAAAAAACUGAGUGGCCCAAAAUCCGCCAAACAAAUGAAAAAAAAUUGCAGCAGCAAUAUG